UACAGAGGGGGCAAGGCGUUAUUCGGAAUUAUUGGGCGUAAAGGGCGCGUAGGCGGCUUUUCAAGUGGCGGGUGAAAUCCCUCGGCUUAACCGAGGAACUGCCUGCCAGACUGGAUGGCUUGAGACCGGGAGAGGUGAGUGGAAUUCCCAGUGUAGCGGUGAAAUGCGUAGAUAUUGGGAGGAACACCAGUGGCGAAGGCGGCUCACUGGACCGGUACUGACGCUGAGGCGCGAAAGCGUGGGGGAGCAAACAGGG
rnacentral:rRNA from 1 species